ACAGGAAAAAAUCAAGAAAAUACUAAUACAGAUAGUGAAGAAGCAUCUGAAGCAGAUGAUAAUCAAGAUACUAAUGAAAUGGAAAUUGAAGUGGAUCCAGAAGCAAUAGGUUCCUAUGCACCUGGAAAGUGAGGGAUUUUCAUUAGUGUUUGGAAAAAGUCAUGGAAAGUCAGGAAAUUUGCCUCCUUGGCUGCCUUGUUGAAUUUUUUUGCUGACAAUUGCUUCACUAAGUGUAGCCAUCUGCAAGCAGUAAUGUGGUACAAUACAACUUGUGAAAAGAGGUGGAGAAUAUUUUCAGGAGCCAAAAUUUCUACAAAAUUGACAAAAUAAAAAAGUGAUAAAUAAUUUUAAAUAAAUAAUUAUAUAAUAUAGCUAUAUAGUCUGAACUUCUAAUUGGAAGAAAAACAUAUCCUGAGUUCACCAUGAAUUUUUAUCAAUAUGCAAAUGUAAGGAUGACUCAUAUCAACCACCAGAGGGCUUGAACCUGAUAAAAAUUGGAUAACUAUUUGAUGGUAUGGUGAGAAGACUUGUUGUUUUUAAUGUAAAAAUGUCAGAACCUCAAAUAAAAGGCUGACAUUUUAAUCAUGUUUAAUAUUGUGAGAUUUUACCUAUUUAUUUUUGUUUUUGUGGGGUUGACGAGUUGUAGACACCACUGUGAUCACCACUUGUGGGUCUGCGAGGAAUAGUUGGCCCCAAUGUGAGGAAAUGUUGACCUUUCAGUUAAAGGUGAACAUGCUCACUUUUCCCGUGAUCUUUCAGGAUGACACGAGAAAGCCCUUUUCGUAUGGGGGUAGUGGUUUGCUGGAUGCAGAGAGACUCACACAGAGACCAUAUUUUACGAAUUUACUGUGUUUAUUCAUUUAAAACAUGAUUGCAAUAGAAACACUGGUCUGUCCUUCGAAAAGAGA